AAACGACUCUCGGCAACGGAUAUCUUGGCUCACGCAUCGAUGAAGAACGUAGCAAAAUGCGAUACUUGGUGUGAAUUGCAGAAUCCCGUGAACCAUCGAGUUUUUGAACGCAAGUUGCGCCCAAAGCCAUCCGGCCGAGGGCACGCCUGCCUGGGCGUCACG
rnacentral:rRNA from 1 species